GAACGUACCUCCGGAACAAAUUAAGUUCUUAACGUGAGGUACCACUGUACACAGAAUGGGGAACCAGGCCAGAGUAAACAGCUUUAUAGGACCAAAUAAUACUCCAUUGGCCUCCCUGUGUCCCCUGAACUUUGCUUUGAUAACUGCAGAACCACCCUCUGACCACCUGUAGUGCUGGUUCUUCAAUGCAACGGAGAGCCAAUCAGCAACUCCUUUCCCUGGCAACCCACCAUGAUGGCCUAAGGGGUAAUGUGCCUGGUUUCUCCCUGGUAGAGAGUUCACUGUGUUCUCCUGAACUCACUUCUCCUGUUACUGAUUAUUCACAAAUUUGAUUUUUAUUUUUGGUAUCUUUUUGCCAUUAGGCAUCUUGAAAACUCUUCCUUCUCUGUGUACAAAAGAUUUACUCAGAGCAGGUGCCCAACAAAUAUUGCUAGACUCCAACUCCCAUCAUCCCUGACCAUUGGCCAUGCCGGCUGGGAAUGAUUGGAGUUGUAGUCUAACAAUAUACGGAGGGCACCACAUUGGUUACACAUGCCACAGAGCAGCGGUUCCCAAACUUAUUUGGCCUACCGCCUCCUUUUCAGAGAAAAAUCACUCCGUGCCCUCCUGGAAAUCUACCUUCUG